GUACUAUUUUUUUUUUUUUUUUUUUUUUUUUUUAGGGCCACAGGUGCAGCAUAUGCAAGUUUCCAUGUUAGGAGUAGAAUUGGAGCUGUAGUUGCAGGCCUAUGCCACAGGCAUAGCAACAUAGAAUCCAAGCCACGUCUGCGACUUACACCACAGCUCACCACAACGCCCUAUCCUUAACCCACUGAGUGAGGCCAGGGAUCAAACUCAAAUCCUCAGGGAUACUAGUCGGGUUUGUUACCACUGAGCCACAGUGGGAACUCCCCAUCAUGCAUAAUUUUUAACAAAAAAGAAAAACUAAAAAAUUGUUUUCCUUUUUUAUAAAAUAUACUUGUCCAAACUUCCUAGUGCAAAUUUCAAAAUCAGCAUUUAUUUACUGUAUGAUACAUACUAUUAUGUAAUCAGUAUCUCUCAGAGACAUAUUAGCUAUGGCUUGUAAAGAAUAAAUGCUUCUGUUGGGAGUGAGCAAGUUCUCUACUGCCUUACUCCUCAUCUUUAGCCCAUAUCAUCCUUGUAGCUUUUAGGCCCUGCAGCUGACUCUCAGCUCUUGCUCCACCUGGGGAUUCAAGGGACCCCUCCUCCCCCAGAAAAGAAAAUACUCUUGUUUCAAAUGCAGCUUCAUAUCCUGGCACAGUGGCCAACACUAAUAGCAUAGAAUUUUGGACACUGUAUAAACAUUCACUCUUCUACUUAAUUCCUUGGAUUCUUGUCUUCCUACUUAUAGCUAAUAACAUGCAAUGCUUAUCUAAAGCAUAUGAUUUACAUAUGUCUUUUUUUUUUUUUUUUUUUUGGUCUUUUUUGCUAUUUCUUGGGCCGCUCCCACGGCAUAUGGAGGUUCCCAGGCUAGGGGUUGAAUCGGAGCUGCAGCCACCGGCCUACACCAGAGCCACAGCAACGCGGGAUCCGAGCCGCGUCUGCAACCUACACCACAGCUCACAGCAACGCCACUGAGCAAGGGCAGGGAUCGAACCCACAACCUCAUGGUUCCUCGUUGGAUUCAUUAACCGCUGCGCUACGACGGGAACGCCUACAUAUGUCUUCUUAUUUUUAACUAAUCCAGUGGAGGAAGUACCUGUGUUAGGUUGGGAGUUUUAGCAGCAGGGCCUGAGACAGGGGCUCUUGAGAUAGUGACUUAUUGAGGAAUAUUCUCAAAGAAGGGAAGUGAGAGAAAUACGAUGGGGCGGGGACGAAAAACUAAGCAAAACAUGGUCUCCCCAGGUGGCUAGUAUCAGCUUGAUUCCACAGGAAACUCUGGAGCACACAAAGUACCACAGAGUUGUUCACAAUUUGACCACAAGGAGGUGGGUGUUAGGUAUCCCUAACUCAGUCACUGGCUACUCAUAAGGCGGGGGAUGGUCAGUGAACUCUUAGUAACCACCACUCACACCAGGCUGGGUGUGUGGUCCAACACCGUGGAUCAGAGCAGGGCAGCACAGCAUCCUCUGCAGUCCUAUUAUCCAGCCAGAAUAACAUAUUUAGUAAGUAAUAAAGAAUGCAUUUAUGUUCUCCUUAACCCCAAAUUUAACUGUUUUCUAGACCUGGGGGUUUGUUCUGAUCUCUGGUAAUUUGGCAAGCCUCAAAACUGCCUGUUCUCUCAAUGCUAGAAUCAAACCAAAAAGUCUGCUUUGUAGAAAGAAGACCAAGUACAGGGUAAGUAAGGCUGAGGGAUGAGCAGCUAUCUCUAUCUUCUACUCCUCCAUUUCUAUCUCUUCACUGGUCAUACUUUUUUUCUUUUUUUUUCUUUUUCUUUUUUCUUUUUUUUUUUUUUCUUUUUUUGCCAUUCCCACAGUAUGUGAAAGUUCCCUAACCAGGGAUCAAACCCAUGCCACAGCAGAGACCCAAGCUGCUGCAGUGACAACACCAGAUCCUUAACUUGCUGUGCCACAGGGGAACUCCUUUCUUUUUCUUUUCUGCAACUGGAUUAGGAGUAAGACCUUCAAGAUCUGAGUUGAAGCCCCAGGAAGGCCAGGGAUUCCUAAAGUUUGAGGAUUUAAGUUGUUACUGGGCAGGAAAUCACAGAAUGUGGUAGGUAAUGUCCAAAUCACUAGAGAUACUGCAUUGCCACUGGCACCGCAUGAUGAAUGUUCAAGAACAUCAAGCUGUUACUAUUUUAACAUCACUGCCUGAUUCUGCUGUAGUGCAGCUUACUGCAUCCCAGUGACCAAGCAGCAACAUCAGUCUAUUUUAGCUCGUUUCAUUUGACACAUCAUUGAAUAAUAAUGUGAGCUAAUUUUAAACAGUCUAGCAACCUGCCUUUGCAUGCAAUGUGUCCUUGCUGAGAAUAUUUUCACUGUGCACUGAAAAAUUUACUAUUCUUGAGUGUACAACUCAUUUUGAUUAAAAAUGACAUGUGAUUUUAUUUCACCUGUAUAUGUGACUAGAAGCGACCCAGUGUCUCCUUUGGAAAUACUGUGACUUUACUCCUAGAAGGGGGAUAUUGUACAGUGACUGGAGAAAUAUUGGGGAAACUAUCAGACUUCUAUUUUGUCUUGAGGUGGUUCCAAGUGACCAUUUCAUAUGGCAGGAAACUGUCUAAGAUGAGUGACUCAGGUGAAGGAGCAGUAAUUUAUUUUUUAACCUCAAUCACAUUGUGUCAUUUGGCAGUUUUCUGUUGGUAAAUCUCUCUAUUCAUCCCUGAGUCAUUUUGCCAGGGCAAAGCUGAGUGAGUCUGUCAGGACCGAGCUGUCAGGGCUAAUCACCAUGGUUAGAUUUGGUAAUACUCCCAUCUGUGCUGAAUGAAAUGUAAGAGCUCAAUUGACUCACAAAAUCCUCAAGCCUAAUGCUCCUAUACUUAUGAUGAUGCUGUGACUGGAGAGACUGGCUAAAGAACGACUUUUCCCUUCUCCUUCCUUCUGUCCUCACUCAUUCCCCCACACCCAUUUGUCUAUAUGUUAUUUAGGAGAAAUCUCUAUAUCCUUAGUCACUAUCUCAAUGUCCAUUUAGAGGGAUAAAGAAAAGAAAAGAAGUAUACUUUUGCCUCUGAAUCCAGGACUUGUCCCCAGAUGUCUUUCUUUCUACAGACAGUACCUUCCUUCAGCCACAUUUUUUCUCUGCCUUAAUUUCUUUAAAGAGGAGAUAAAUACCAAAUACCUGUCACAACCUUCUCACCUCCUCUUAGCUUCUUAUCUCACAGUAAGUGUAGCUCUACUUUUACAACUUCAUUGAAGUCACUCUUGUCCAUAUAAACCAUGUCUUUAUAAAUGCUAAAACUAAUGGACACUAGUAAGCCAGUCCUUUGACUAUUUCAUUUCUUGCAUUAUUUCAUGAUGCUAUUUAUCCCCCCUGUUAAACAAACCAAGCCAUCCAAACAGAAAGUCCUUUUCUAAUCGUGGCUUGGGACAUUCCUCUCUUAAUUGAAUUUUUAGCCACUUCCUCCUGGCUGUGGCUUCUUGAUUCAUUGGAGGCACUCCUGAGACUACAUCUUAAACAUUGAUGUUUUCCAGAGCUCCAUGCUUGUUCCUUCACUUUUCUUAUUCUCUAAAACUCCCUGGGAAAUCUGCCAACAGCUAUGGCUUCAGGUGUCACUUGUGUGAACUUUUUGCCAAGCCAUCACUAUUUAUUUACAAUCAUUUUCCUAUUCAUAACAUUUCGAGGGUUCAGAGUAUAACUGAUCAGUGAAUGCCAUCCAACAUAGAAUUAAUUCAUAUCAAAAUACUAUGCAUUUCAGUCCUAGGUACACCUUCCUACUAAUCUGAUUCAAGAAAUGUUGAUUCCUCUUUGAUAUUUGUCUUCCUAAUGAUCCUACCUAUCAUUCGGCUCAAGUUUCCAGUGCUUGACAUAAAGUCUCUUGCACCAAGCACAGCACUGGGCACAAAGUAAGUUCUCAAUAUACUUGGGUUGAAUGAAACCGAAAAGGAUGCAUAAUUGGAUAUAAAAAGAUAUUGAACCAAGAGAAAGUAAGUUACAUGAUAGCAGUGAUGGAAGCUCAAGGUGCUGGGUGAACUGAUCAGAGAAAUAAGAGCGCAGGUACUAAGUAGUUGUAUAACCUUGAAGUUGUAUAACCUGAUUCUCAUAUUCUUUAUCCAUAAUAUGAGGGGGUUGGGCAAUGUGAUCCCUAAAGUCUUUUUCAACACUAAAUAGUCAUGACUUGUCCUGUAGCAGGGAGAGGUCUCAUUGCAGACUACCUCUGGGGUGGUAGAAGCAUGAUGUUAAGAAUUCCAUGUAAGAUAUACACCCAUAUAUUUUCUUAUCUAAUACCUCAGUUGAAGGGAUGCCACAGAGAUGAGCUUGUCAGAAACUGAUAUUUCCCUUUUCAUAAAAUGUUUUCAUCAUUCCUCUUUGUAACGGAGUAGUCCCCAAAGAGUCUGGGUAUUUGUUUUGCACAAACUGCACAGAUGCAGAGGCACACAGCAGAAGCUUUAUCUGUCUGCCUUCCCAUGGAGCAGUUGAGUAAAAAGUAAAUGAUGUGUCUAAACAGCAAACUGAUUCUUUCCAAAUAUAGGCACUUAAUUACUUCUCUCGUCAUAAUACCUGGGGGAGGAAGAGUAUCUCUAGGUACUGAAAUCCAAGCUGAGGUUUCAAAUUAGACAGGUUAUUUUGGAAUUUAGCCAACUUUAGACAUCCCCAUACCUUUGAUUUUUCUAAUAAAAUGCUUUAAAUCAAAAUGAAGAGAUUGCAUUUGGAUAUAUUAUUAUGUGACAAUGGGGUAUUUUUAAGCACUACUUUAAAUAAGCAACAAAAUGAAAUUGAUGAAUACAUAUGGAAAUAAGCUUAUGAAGAUAAAUAUCCUGCAGGUGCUGCUCCCUUUUUUUAAAGUAAUUAAACAAUUCAAUGUGUUCAGUCUUGGAUAUCUGCCCUGCUAAUCUUAGUUCACCUAUAGCUUUGACUGACAGUAAUCUAAGCUCUUAACUCAUCAGUAUAGGCCUUAGCUCUGAAGAGAAACAGGAAGAAAGAAACAGGUUUGAACUUUGCUGCAGAUUCAUGACAUCAAAAAGCUAAACUCAAAGCAAGGGACACCUCUAUUCCUUACCUCCACCUCCUUGAAAUGUUUUCACUUGGAAUCAACCAUUAAUCAGCCAAACCAAAAACAACUGUUGUAUCAGCUUGUGUAGUGUUAUUAAUAAUUUCAAGAAAAAUGUUACUAUCACAAAUUUCUCAUUUUUUUUUCCUCAAGGCAAGGGGUAAAUCUAACAUAAUAAUAUGAAAUUUUGAACUGCAUUGUUUUUCAUUGUAAAUAUACAUGUUUAUUGUAGAAACAAAUACGGAAGAUAAAGAACAACAACAACAAAAAAUUCACCUGCUUUGUCUGUCAGAGUCCUGGCAGGAAACAGACACACUCUAAGGGUUUUUUUUCAUAGAAAGAAGUUUGACCAUGGGAUUAUUUACAGGAGUGUGGGCAGGGUUAAGAGAACCCGAAAGGGACAGCAAAACACCCAGAGUCUACAUCCUUGGGAAAUCGUUACAAUUCCUCUGCUUACAAGGGCACAUGGAGGGGAGAGUGUUCCUGAAACUGGACUAGAAAUAUAACCUUGGAAGAGUGGUCAUCCAAUUCUUUCUGUGUAAUGAGUUCAUACAUGGAAAUGAAAACCCCAGCCAGAGAGGAGGAGGCAGGAAAAUAAAUCACCCAACCUUGUUAUUCUGCAGUGUCAUUUCUGAGAUUGCCGCUCACUGGCUGAACCAGGAGGAGGCGACAGAGUCUGAGAGACGGAAUCUGUAGAAAACAACACCCAAGGGCCUGUCAGGCCAGAGAAAUUGGGAACAGAUGUAAAAGAGCAGAGAGGGGUUCCUAUUGUGGCUGAGUGGGUUAAGAACCUGACAUAGAGUCCAUGAGGAUGUGGGUUCAAUCCCUGGCCUUGCUCAGUGGGUUAAGGAUCUGGCGUUGCUCUGAGCUGUGGUGUAUGUGGCAAAUGUGGCUUGGAUCUGGCAUUAUUGUGGCUGUGGUAUAGGCCAGCAGCUGCAGCUCCGAUUCAGCCCUUUGCUGUGGAACUUCCACAUGUCAUGGGUGUGGCCCUAAAAAAGACAAAAAAGAAAAAGAACAGAGAGUUACCAGCACACCAAUGAUCCUGUCACUUAGACAUUUCCACUGUUAAGAUGAUGAUAUAAAUCUCUCCAGACUCACCUCCUAUAAUGCUAUAAUGCUAUAACUGCUAUAACAGCAGUUCUUUUUCCCAUUGCACUCUAUCUAAUUAAGAGUUUGUGUGUACAUGUCAGUCUUUCAAAAGGA
rnacentral:lncRNA from 1 species